rnacentral:rRNA from 1 species
UACGUAGGAGGCGAGCGUUGUCCGGAUUUACUGGGCGUAAAGGGCGCGCAGGCGGCCCACCAAGUACGAUGUGAAAUCUCCCUGCUCAACGGGGAGGGUGCAUAGUAAACUGGUGAGCUAGAGGACGGUAGAGGGGGGUGGAAUUGCUGGUGUAGCGGUGAAAUGCGUAGAGAUCAGCAGGAACACCCGUGGCGAAGGCGGCCCCCUGGGCCGUACCUGACGCUGAGGCGCGAAGGCUAGGGGAGCGAACGGGAUUAGAUACCCCGGUAGUCCUAGCAGUAAACGAUGGCCACUAGGUGUGGGGGGUGUUGACCCCUUCCGUGCCGCAGCCAACGCAUUAAGUGGCCCGCCUGGGGAGUACGGUCGCAAGACUAAA